AAGGUCUGAGUAUUUUAAUCCCCCUCGAUCGGCUCUAGCGGGGCCUGGCUGUAAUCAGCUGCGCGACGUACCAGAAAAGCAGCGUCAUUUUCAUAUCCCUAAGAUUCUGUUACCGCAGAGGUAGCAGAGGAGGGUGAAACUGAAAGCUUUGAAAGUGUCGCGGGGAUCGGGCAAACCUACAUCUAUCCAUCAUCUAGCAUUCAGUAGUCGCUAUCACGCAUGCACUCUCAUUGUGUAUGAGGUGGUUGGUGGCUGAUUGUAUGCGAUGACGGUAUACUGGCUUGUCCUUGAGUUCACUUCGUGGCUCGCGCAUCCUUCGUGGAUCGUGAAACUCGAUUCAGACUACUCUCGGGCUGGU
rnacentral:RNase_P_RNA from 1 species